CUCCUGCCAUUUGGUACGCUAACACAAUUUUCUCAUCUAAAUUUCUAUUACAUAAUUUAAUGGAGAGUUGCAAUUUUGGUGAAAUUUCUUGAAUUCACAAUUUGGUUUGGAUGUUUUUCAACUGCCUCGUUCUGCUUCAAUUGUUGAGGAGUUUUCCCAUAUUAGCCAGCUCCUCCCUCUGGUUCUCUUAAGGUAAACUUCAAUGUGCGACUAUUGAGUGUGGCAUACGUAUCAAAGACAUUAUUGUUCGUAACAGGAAUGGUGAAGUUAUGCUUUUUACACAGAGCCGCUUCUCUAUGAUGCGUAAUCAUCUUUCAUGGUUUGUCUAAAGCUCUCAAGUCUCAAGGGCUGACAUUUUAGUAGUCAUUGAGUUUUCAAUGGCAUCCAUCAAGGAUAGUGGGUCAAUAACUGGAAGCGUAAGGUGUCCUGAAUGCGAAGUAUCCUCUGGUAGUAAGUUUGAGGAAUUUGGGAGAGCCCUUACCAGUGUUGUUGCGGCAGAUGAAUCUACUGAAGAUGGCUGUUCUAGUGGGCAGACGAAGUCUGGUGCAUAUACCGAGCAUCGAGGAUGAUCAUCUUGUGUUAUUGCAGAUGGCAAUAAUCUCUUUAGAAAAUGGGAGGAAGAUCAAAUUGUUUUGAAACAACAAAAUGAAAGGAUACAAGGUUUAAUGGAGGAUACUCAUCGUUACUUGUCUUCUAUUGCUAUUCUCAAAGAUGAACGGAAAGAAGCUCGCAAUGAUUUUAAGUCUCUUUCUAAAUUAGUUAUAAUGCUUACAUUCGGAACAAAGAGUUUGAAUUACAUUUUAAAUGAUGACUGAUAAAAAGGGUAUGGGAUUCUCGGGCCAAUGUUGUGGUUAUGACAAAUCCUUGAUUGUGUUCGUUCGUGCUUUAGAUGGCAAAGACCCAAGUGAAGAAAAAGCAACUUUCUCCGGAGUGAAUUCCUUCCAUGGCAUAACUACUCUAAGGCCUUCAAGAAGAUGGAUAUGUCAUUUUUGCGGAAAGUCUGGUGAGAUUAUUCCUGAGGUUGGUUGUCUUAUUUUAUUAAUGGUAGAAUUGGAGCUUAAUUUCUUAUAUGGUUGAUGUCGAUUAAUAAAUAUGUGGACAAUAUUUAUUAAUCAAGAUAUAUAGUUGGCUUUUAUUUUGUUACAACUUGUGACCUAAACAUAUAAGCUCGUGGAUGCAUGAUAUUGUUGUAGCAUUGGCUGUUCUAAAUAUUCAUGUAUGGUGUGUGGUGUUCAAUAAUUUGUUUGUAGCAUCGUGAGUCACUUGAUUUAGAAGAUUCGUGCAAGUUAGGGGAAGCCUAAGAUUGAAGCUCUUUUUAAGGAGUCUUGUGCCAUUUGACGUGGAUUUCUUGGUUUGAGACUUACAAUGGUUGGCAUCUAUACGGCCUCAUUUGGUUCUUCAUCCUAAAUUUACUUGUCAGCAAGGAAGGGGGAGAAAUAUGUUGACUUUAUAUUAUGAUCUGAUUUUGGCUGUAUUAUGAUCUCAGUGGUUUUGGAUUAUGGAUAUGGAUUUGCAGCGCGUUCCUAUUUUCCUUUGGUGAAUGAGUUGCUUAAUGACUAAACUCUUCUUUGGAGAUGGUAUUUUUGACUAUGUGUUAUGUGGGUGUUUCCUCUGUUAGCUUCUCUAUUUAUGGAUGGUUCUUGUUCGUGUGGUUGCCUAGGUUACUUGUUGCUUGUUCGAUCAAAUAAAGGAAGCUUUCCCAAGAGGGAGUUUGGUCCCACUUCCUUCAUUGUAUUUAUUUAUUUAUUAUAUUGUUUUAGAUUUAAAUGUUGAGAUUGGUUA